rnacentral:tRNA from 2 species
GGGCAGGUGGUGAAACUGGUAAACACGUACGGUUCAGGGUCGUAUGCCGAAAGGCUUGAGGGUUCGACCCCCUCCCUGCCCA